rnacentral:rRNA from 1 species
UACGUAGGGUGCAAGCGUUGUCCGGAAUUAUUGGGCGUAAAGAGCUCGUAGGCGGCUUGUCACGUCGACUGUGAAAACCCGGGGCUCAACUCCGGGCCUGCAGUCGAUACGGGCUGGCUUGAGUGCGGUAGGGGAGACUGGAAUUCCUGGUGUAGCGGUGAAGUGCGCAGAUAUCAGGAGGAACACCGGUGGCGAAGGCGGGUCUCUGGGCCGUAACUGACGCUGAGACGCGAAAGCGUGGGGAGCAAACAGG